rnacentral:pre_miRNA from 15 species
GGUGAAAUGAAGCCACUAUCUAUCUCGGUGACUCACUCAACCUGGGUGUGAUGUGUUUGCUGUACCAUCACAACCUCCUUGAGUGAGCGACCGGGUGGAUAUCACCGACAUUUUUACACCA